ensembl:snRNA U6 U6 spliceosomal RNA
GUGCUCACUUUAGCAGCAUAUAUCCUAAAUUUGGAAUAUUACAGAGAAGACUCACAGACUCCAAAACAAGGAUGACACGCAUUUGUGAAGUGUCCCAUAUUUUU